AAGUCGUAACAAGGCUUCCGUAGGUGAACCUGCGGAAGGAUCAUUAACACUUAACAUGUGAGACUGUCUAGUGGGUAAAACUGCUAGUUCGUGUCUCAUAUACUAUCCACCCGUGGUCUUGUUUCGUACCUUUUGCCCUUGCGGUGAAAGGCUUAUCCACUCGGUCGCUGAGCGCUUGUGAUUCACAGCCCAGUGGUGAACAGCGGUGUAUUAACAUGUGCAUCGCCUAGUAGCUGUAUAGAUGGAGUGGCCUAUUUUUCAUUCUGCAUUCAAUACCUUGAACUGAUUACCAUAUGCAUACGAAAGUGUGUGUAUGUUUAUUGACCUUGUGUCGAUAAAACCAAAUACAACUCGUAACAACGGAUAUCUCGGCUAAC
rnacentral:misc_RNA from 1 species